CAACCCCAUUACUGAGGCAUCCCAGAGCCUAUAAAAAUCAGUUCUCAUUUAAUGGGAACACAUACAAAGUAUACUCAAUCAUCACCGUUGUCAGGUUUUGCUUUAUAGAGCUGUAGAAAGAUGCUACCUCAUGCCAAGCAAAUGUUGAUUGAUCGUUUCAAGAAAACACAUGGCAUGAAGGUCGGAAUUUCCAUGAGAUGUGCCAUUGAGGACUUCGUCCUGAAGCCCUUUGGCAAGGGACAAUCGUCCCAACUUCCUAGGAGUCAAACUUCUACACCUUCAUCUAGUUCUUCUAUUAUAGCUCAUAUCCAGGAUAAGGUGAAGACACAUAUACAAGGUGAAAUAGAUGGUAUAGGUCUGGCAGAUUGCAUACAGAGCAUAGAGGCAGAUGUACCUUUACUUGGUGGUUUACCAAUACAUACAGCAGAUUUGGCAACAACAAGCAUUAUAAGAUUAGACGUGCCUGCAUUUAUCCUGAUACAUAGAGCACAGAUUCCACCUAGUUGGGAUCUCCAUUGAGCG
rnacentral:lncRNA from 1 species